GGUUAAGCGACUAAGCGUACACGGUGGAUGCCCUGGCAGUCAGAGGCGAUGAAGGACGUGCUAAUCUGCGAUAAGCGUCGGUAAGGUGAUAUGAACCGUUAUAACCGGCGAUUUCCGAAUGGGGAAACCCAGUGUGAUUCGUCACACUAUCAUUAACUGAAUCCAUAGGUUAAUGAGGCGAACCGGGGGAACUGAAACAUCUAAGUACCCCGAGGAAAAGAAAUCAACCGAGAUUCCCCCAGUAGCGGCGAGCGAACGGGGAGCAGCCCAGAGCCUGAAUCAGUGUGUGUGUUAGUGGAAGCGUCUGGAAAGGCGCGCGAUACAGGGUGACAGCCCCGUACACAAAAAUGCACAUGCUGUGAGCUCGAUGAGUAGGGCGGGACACGUGGUAUCCUGUCUGAAUAUGGGGGGACCAUCCUCCAAGGCUAAAUACUCCUGACUGACCGAUAGUGAACCAGUACCGUGAGGGAAAGGCGAAAAGAACCCCGGCGAGGGGAGUGAAAAAGAACCUGAAACCGUGUACGUACAAGCAGUGGGAGCACGCUUAGGCGUGUGACUGCGUACCUUUUGUAUAAUGGGUCAGCGACUUAUAUUCUGUAGCAAGGUUAACCGAAUAGGGGAGCCGAAGGGAAACCGAGUCUUAACUGGGCGUUAAGUUGCAGGGUAUAGACCCGAAACCCGGUGAUCUAGCCAUGGGCAGGUUGAAGGUUGGGUAACACUAACUGGAGGACCGAACCGACUAAUGUUGAAAAAUUAGCGGAUGACUUGUGGCUGGGGGUGAAAGGCCAAUCAAACCGGGAGAUAGCUGGUUCUCCCCGAAAGCUAUUUAGGUAGCGCCUCGUGAAUUCAUCUCCGGGGGUAGAGCACUGUUUCGGCAAGGGGGUCAUCCCGACUUACCAACCCGAUGCAAACUACGAAUACCGGAGAAUGUUAUCACGGGAGACACACGGCGGGUGCUAACGUCCGUCGUGAAGAGGGAAACAACCCAGACCGCCAGCUAAGGUCCCAAAGUCAUGGUUAAGUGGGAAACGAUGUGGGAAGGCCCAGACAGCCAGGAUGUUGGCUUAGAAGCAGCCAUCAUUUAAAGAAAGCGUAAUAGCUCACUGGUCGAGUCGGCCUGCGCGGAAGAUGUAACGGGGCUAAACCAUGCACCGAAGCUGCGGCAGCGACGCUUAUGCGUUGUUGGGUAGGGGAGCGUUCUGUAAGCCUGCGAAGGUGUGCUGUGAGGCAUGCUGGAGGUAUCAGAAGUGCGAAUGCUGACAUAAGUAACGAUAAAGCGGGUGAAAAGCCCGCUCGCCGGAAGACCAAGGGUUCCUGUCCAACGUUAAUCGGGGCAGGGUGAGUCGACCCCUAAGGCGAGGCCGAAAGGCGUAGUCGAUGGGAAACAGGUUAAUAUUCCUGUACUUGGUGUUACUGCGAAGGGGGGACGGAGAAGGCUAUGUUGGCCGGGCGACGGUUGUCCCGGU
rnacentral:rRNA from 1 species